AGUCCGAGUUGUAAUUUGCAGAGGGCGCUUUGGCUUUGGCAGCGGUCCAAGUUCCUUGGAACAGGACGUCACAGAGGGUGAGAAUCCCGUACGUGGUCGCUAGCUAUUGCCGUGUAAAGCCCCUUCGACGAGUCGAGUUGUUUGGGAAUGCAGCUCUAAAUGGGAGGUAAAUUUCUUCUAAAGCUAAAUAUUGGCCAGAGACCGAUAGCGCACAAGUAGAGUGAUCGAAAGAUGAAAAGCACUUUGGAAAGAGAGUCAAACAGCACGUGAAAUUGUUGAAAGGGAAGCGCUUGCAGCCAGACUUGCUUGCAGUUGCUCAUCCGGGCUUUUGCCCGGUGCACUCUUCUGUAGGCAGGCCAGCAUCAGUUUGGGCGGUGGGAUAAAGGUCUCUGUCACGUACCUCUCUUCGGGGAGGCCUUAUAGGGGAGACGACAUACCACCAGCCUAGACUGAGGUCCGCGCAUCUGCUAGGAUGCUGGCGUAAUGGCUGUAAGCGGCCCGUCUUGAAACACGGACCAAGGAGUCUAACAUCUAUGCGAGUGUUUGGGUGUCAAGCCCGAGCGCGUAAUGAAAGUGAACGGAGGUGGGAACCCGCAAGGGUGCACCAUCGACCGAUCCUGAAGUUUACGGAAGGAUUUGAGUAAGAGCAUGGCUGUUGGGACCCGAAAGAUGGUGAACUAUGCUUGAAUAGGGUGAAGCCAGAGGAAACUCUGGUGGAGGCUCGCAGCGGUUCUGACGUGCAAAUCGAUCGUCAAAUUUGGGCAUAGGGGCGAAAGACUAAUCGAACUAUCUAGUAGCUGGUUCCUGCCGAAGUUUCCCUCAGGAUAGCAGUAACGUAUUCAGUUUUAUGAGGUAAAGCGAAUGAUUAGAGGCAUGGGGGUUGAAACAACCUUCACCUAUUCUCAAACUUUAAAUAUGUAAGAAGCCCUUUGUUACUUAAUUGAACGCGGGCAUUUGAAUGAAACGUUAUUAGUGGGCCAUUUUUGGUAAGCAGAACUGGCGAUGCGGGAUGAACCGAACGAGGGGUUACGGUGCCGGAGUACACGCUCAUCAGACACCACAAAAGGUGUUGGUUCAUCUAGACAGCAGGACGGUGGCCAUGGAAGUCGGAAUCCGCUAAGGAGUGUGUAACAACUCACCUGCCGAAUGAACUAGCCCUGAAAAUGGAUGGCGCUCAAGCGUGUCACCUAUACCCCUCCGCCGGGGCAAAAUUUACGCCCCGGCGAGUAGGCAGGCGUGGAGGCUCGUGACGAAGCCUUUGGGGGUGACCCCAGGUCGAACGGCCUCUAGUG
rnacentral:rRNA from 1 species